UCGAGAAUAAUUCACAAUGGGGGCAACCCUGAUGGUGCAACGCCGCGUGGAGGAUAAGGUCUUCGGAUCGUAAACUCCUGUCAUCUGGGAGCUAGUACCAGAAGAGGAAGGGACGGCUAACUUCGUGCCAGCAGCCGCGGUAAUACGAAGGUCCCAAGCGUUGUUCGGAAUCACUGGGCGUAAAGGGAGCGUAGGCGGCGUGGUAAGUCAGAUGUGAAAUCCCAAGGCUCAACCUUGGAACUGCAUCCGAUACUGCCAUGCUAGAGGUUUGGAGAGGUAACUGGAAUUCUCGGUGUAGCAGUGAAAUGCGUAGAUAUCGAGAGGAACACUCGUGGCGAAAGCGAGUUACUGGACAACACCUGACGCUGAGGCUCGAAGGCUAGGGGAGCGAAAGGGAUUAGAUACCCGAGUAGU
rnacentral:rRNA from 1 species